rnacentral:rRNA from 1 species
GACGAACGCUGGCGGCGUGCCUAAUACAUGCAAGUCGAGCGAAGUUUUUCUGGUGCUUGCACUAGAAAAACUUAGCGGCGAACGGGUGAGUAACACGUAAAGAACCUGCCUCAUAGACUGGGACAACUAUUGGAAACGAUAGCUAAUACCGGAUAACAGCAUUAACUGCAUGGUUGAUGUUUAAAAGUUGGUUUUGCUAACACUAUGAGAUGGCUUUGCGGUGCAUUAGCUAGUUGGUGGGGUAAAGGCCUACCAAGGCGACGAUGCAUAGCCGACCUGAGAGGGUGAUUGGCCACACUGGGAUUGAGACACGGCCCAGACUCCUACGGGAGGCAGCAGUAGGGAAUCUUCCGCAAUGGGCGAAAGCCUGACGGAGCAACGCCGCGUGAGUGAAGAAGGAUUUCGGUUCGUAAAGCUCUGUUGUUAGGGAAGAAUGAUUGUGUAGUAACUAUACACAGUAGAGACGGUACCUAACCAGAAAGCCACGGCUAACUACGUG